rnacentral:rRNA from 1 species
GGUUAAGCGACUAAGCGUACACGGUGGAUGCCCUGGCAGUCAGAGGCGAUGAAGGACGUGCUAAUCUGCGAAAAGCGUCGGUAAGGUGAUAUGAACCGUUACAGCCGGCGAUGUCCGAAUGGGGAAACCCAGUGUGAUUCGUCACACUAUCGUUAACUGAAUACAUAGGUUAACGAGGCGAACCGGGGGAACUGAAACAUCUAAGUACCCCGAGGAAAAGAAAUCAACCGAGAUUCCCCCAGUAGCGGCGAGCGAACGGGGAGCAGCCCAGAGUCUGAAUCAGCUUGUGUGUUAGUGGAACGGUCUGGAAAGUCCGACGGUACAGGGUGAUAGUCCCGUACACCAAAAUGCACAGGUUGUGAACUCGAAGAGUAGGGCGGGACACGUGGUAUCCUGUCUGAAUAUGGGGGGACCAUCCUCCAAGGCUAAAUACUCCUGACUGACCGAUAGUGAACCAGUACCGUGAGGGAAAGGCGAAAAGAACCCCGGCGAGGGGAGUGAAAAAGAACCUGAAACCGUGUACGUACAAGCAGUGGGAGCACCUUCGGGUGUGACUGCGUACCUUUUGUAUAAUGGGUCAGCGACUUAUAUUCUGUAGCAAGGUUAACCGUAUAGGGGAGCCGCAGGGAAACCGAGUCUUAACUGGGCGUUAAGUUGCAGGGUAUAGACCCGAAACCCGGUGAUCUAGCCAUGGGCAGGUUGAAGGUUGGGUAACACUAACUGGAGGACCGAACCGACUAAUGUUGAAAAAUUAGCGGAUGACUUGUGGCUGGGGGUGAAAGGCCAAUCAAACCGGGAGAUAGCUGGUUCUCCCCGAAAGCUAUUUAGGUAGCGCCUCGUGAACUCAUCUUCGGGGGUAGAGCACUGUUUCGGCUAGGGGGUCAUCCCGACUUACCAACCCGAUGCAAACUACGAAUACCGAAGAAUGUUAUCACGGGAGACACACGGCGGGUGCUAACGUCCGUCGUGAAGAGGGAAACAACCCAGACCGCCAGCUAAGGUCCCAAAGUCAUGGUUAAGUGGGAAACGAUGUGGGAAGGCACAGACAGCCAGGAUGUUGGCUUAGAAGCAGCCAUCAUUUAAAGAAAGCGUAAUAGCUCACUGGUCGAGUCGGCCUGCGCGGAAGAUGUAACGGGGCUAAACCAUGCACCGAAGCUGCGGCAGCGACACUAUGUGUUGUUGGGUAGGGGAGCGUUCUGUAAGCCUGCGAAGGUGUGCUGUGAGGCAUGCUGGAGGUAUCAGAAGUGCGAAUGCUGACAUAAGUAACGAUAAAGCGGGUGAAAAGCCCGCUCGCCGGAAGACCAAGGGUUCCUGUCCAACGUUAAUCGGGGCAGGGUGAGUCGACCCCUAAGGCGAGGCCGAAAGGCGUAGUCGAUGGGAAACAGGUUAAUAUUCCUGUACUUGGUGUUACUGCGAAGGGGGGACGGAGAAGGCUAUGUUAGCCGGGCGACGGUUGUCCCGGUUUAAGCAUGUAGGCUGGUUAUCCAGGCAAAUCCGGAUAAUCAAGGCUGAGGUGUGAUGACGAGGCACUACGGUGCUGAAGUAACAAAUGCCCUGCUUCCAGGAAAAGCCUCUAAGCAUCAGGUAACAUCAAAUCGUACCCCAAACCGACACAGGUGGUCAGGUAGAGAAUACCAAGGCGCUUGAGAGAACUCGGGUGAAGGAACUAGGCAAAAUGGUGCCGUAACUUCGGGAGAAGGCACGCUGGUGUGUAGGUGAAGUCCCUGCGGAUGGAGCUGAGACCAGUCGAAGAUACCAGCUGGCUGCAACUGUUUAUUAAAAACACAGCACUGUGCAAACACGAAAGUGGACGUAUACGGUGUGACGCCUGCCCGGUGCCGGAAGGUUAAUUGAUGGGGUUAUCCGUAAGGAGAAGCUCUUGAUCGAAGCCCCGGUAAACGGCGGCCGUAACUAUAACGGUCCUAAGGUAGCGAAAUUCCUUGUCGGGUAAGUUCCGACCUGCACGAAUGGCGUAAUGAUGGCCAGGCUGUCUCCACCCGAGACUCAGUGAAAUUGAACUCGCUGUGAAGAUGCAGUGUACCCGCGGCAAGACGGAAAGACCCCGUGAACCUUUACUAUAGCUUGACACUGAACAUUGAGCCUUGAUGUGUAGGAUAGGUGGGAGGCUUUGAAGCGUGGACGCCAGUCUGCGUGGAGCCAACCUUGAAAUACCACCCUUUAAUGUUUGAUGUUCUAACGUUGGCCCCUGACCGGGGUUGCGGACAGUGUCUGGUGGGUAGUUUGACUGGGGCGGUCUCCUCCCAAAGCGUAACGGAGGAGCACGAAGGUUAGCUAAUCCUGGUCGGACAUCAGGAGGUUAGUGCAAUGGCAUAAGCUAGCUUGACUGCGAGCGUGACGGCGCGAGCAGGUGCGAAAGCAGGUCAUAGUGAUCCGGUGGUUCUGAAUGGAAGGGCCAUCGCUCAACGGAUAAAAGGUACUCCGGGGAUAACAGGCUGAUACCGCCCAAGAGUUCAUAUCGACGGCGGUGUUUGGCACCUCGAUGUCGGCUCAUCACAUCCUGGGGCUGAAGUAGGUCCCAAGGGUAUGGCUGUUCGCCAUUUAAAGUGGUACGCGAGCUGGGUUUAGAACGUCGUGAGACAGUUCGGUCCCUAUCUGCCGUGGGCGCUGGAGAAUUGAGGGGGGCUGCUCCUAGUACGAGAGGACCGGAGUGGACGCAUCACUGGUGUUCGGGUUGUCAUGCCAAUGGCACUGCCCGGUAGCUAAAUGCGGAAGAGAUAAGUGCUGAAAGCAUCUAAGCACGAAACUUGCCCCGAGAUGAGUUCUCCCUGAGACU